GGUGAACGCUAGCGGUGCGCCUAACACAUGCAAGUCGAGCGGUAGACUUUCUAGCUUGCUAGAGAGUUGAGAGCGGCGAACGGGUGAGUAACACGUUGGUAUCUGCCCCCAAGUCAGGGAUAGCCAUUGGAAACGAUGAUUAAUACCGGAUAGUCUCUUCGGAGUAAAGAUUUAUUGCUUGGGGAGGAGCCUGCGUUCUAUCAGCUUGUUGGUAGUGUAAAAGACUACCAAGGCUAUGACGGAUACCUGGUCUGAGAGGAUGAUCAGGCACAAUGGAACUGAGACACGGUCCAUACUCCUACGGGAGGCAGCAGUGAGGAAUCUUCCACAAUGGACGAAAGUCUGAUGGAGCGACACCGCGUGAAGGAUGAAGGCCUAACGGUUGUAAACUUCUUUUCUGAGGGAGCAUAAUGAGAGUACCUCAGGAAUAAGGGACGGCUAAAUACGUG
rnacentral:rRNA from 1 species